UCUCCGUUGGUGAACCAGCGGAGGGAUCAUUAUCGAGUUUAUAACUCCCAAACCCUAUGUGAACUUACCACUUGUUGCUUCGGCGCGCGCUUCGGCGCCGCCGAGGACACUUAAACUCUUUGUUUUUAUAAGCAUUUCUGAGUGGCCGAAAGGCAAAAUACAAAUGAAUCAAAACUUUCAACAACGGAUCUCUUGGUUCCG
rnacentral:misc_RNA from 1 species